rnacentral:rRNA from 1 species
AUUGAACGCUGGCGGCAUGCUUUACACAUGCAAGUCGAACGGCAGCGCGGGCUUCGGCCUGGCGGCGAGUGGCGAACGGGUGAGUAAUACAUCGGAACGUGCCCAGUAGUGGGGGAUAGCUCGGCGAAAGCCGGAUUAAUACCGCAUACGACCUGAGGGUGAAAGCGGGGGAUCUUCGGACCUCGCGCUAUUGGAGCGGCCGAUGGCAGAUUAGCUAGUUGGUGGGGUAAAGGCCUACCAAGGCGACGAUCUGUAGCUGGUCUGAGAGGACGACCAGCCACACCGGGACUGAGACACGGCCCAAACUCCUACGGGAGGCAGCAGUGGGGAAUUUUGGACAAUGGGCGAAAGCCUGAUCCAGCAAUGCCGCGUGUGUGAUGAAGGCCUUCGGGUUGUAAAGCACUUUUGGCGGGAACGAAAAGGACUGUGCCAAUACCACGGUUCGAUGACGGUACCCGCAGAAUAAGCACCGGCUAACUACGUG